CGAGUGAGCGNCAACANNUNNAAUUUGAAAGCUAGCCUUCGGGUUCGCAUUGUAAUUUGUAGAGGAUGAUUUGGGGAAGCCGCCUGUCUAAGUUCCUUGGAACAGGACGUCAUAGAGGGUGAGAAUCCCGUAUGUGACAGGAAAUGGCACCCUAUGUAAAUCUCCUUCGACGAGUCGAGUUGUUUGGGAAUGCAGCUCUAAAUGGGAGGUAAAUUUCUUCUAAAGCUAAAUAUUGGCGAGAGACCGAUAGCGCACAAGUAGAGUGAUCGAAAGAUGAAAAGCACUUUGGAAAGAGAGUUAAAAAGCACGUGAAAUUGUUGAAAGGGAAGCGCUUGCAAUCAGACUUGUUUAAACUGUUCGGCCGGUCUUCUGACCGGUUUACUCAGUUUGGACAGGCCAGCAUCAGUUUCGGCGGCCGGAUAAAGGCUCUGGGAAUGUGGCCUCCACUUCGGUGGAGGUGUUAUANCUCAGGGUGUAAUACGGCCAGCCGGGACUGAGGUCCGCGCUUCGGCUAGGAUGCUGGCGUAAUGGUUGUAAGCGACCCGUCUUGAAACACG
rnacentral:rRNA from 1 species